rnacentral:rRNA from 1 species
UACGUAGGGUGCAAGCGUUGUCCGGAAUUAUUGGGCGUAAAGAGCUCGUAGGCGGUCUGUCACGUCUGCUGUGAAAACUCGGGGCUCAACCCCGGGCCUGCAGUGGGUACGGGCAGACUAGAGUGCGGUAGGGGAGACUGGAAUUCCUGGUGUAGCGGUGAAAUGCGCAGAUAUCAGGAGGAACACCGGUGGCGAAGGCGGAUCUCUGGGCCAUUACUGACGCUGAGGAGCGAAAGCGUGGGGAGCGAACAGG